UACGUAGGGUGCAAGCGUUGUCCGGAAUCAUUGGGCGUAAAGAGCGUGUAGGCGGCUCGAUUAGUCCGCUGUAAAAGUCCAGGGCUCAACCCUGGGAUGCCGGUGGAAACUGUCGAGCUAGAGUCCGGGAGAGGCGAGUGGAAUUCCUGGUGUAGCGGUGAAAUGCGCAGAUAUCAGGAGGAACACCGGUGGCGAAGGCGGGUCUCUGGGCCGAUACUGACACUGAGGAGCGAAAGCGUGGGGAGCGAACAGG
rnacentral:rRNA from 1 species